rnacentral:piRNA from 1 species
AACAAUGACAACAUUGCACUCCGAGAC